rnacentral:rRNA from 1 species
GUAUCAUGGCUCAGGAUGAACGCUAGCUACAGGCUUAACACAUGCAAGUCGAGGGGAAACGGACAUCGAAAGCUUGCUUUUGAUGGGCGUCGACCGGCGCACGGGUGAGUAACGCGUAUCCAACCUGCCCACCACUUGGGGAUAACCUUGCGAAAGUAAGACUAAUACCCAAUGAUAUCUCUAGAAGACAUCUGAAAGAGAUUAAAGAUUUAUCGGUGAUGGAUGGGGAUGCGU